GACGUAGGAGGCGAGCGUUGUCCGGAUUCAUUGGGCGUAAAGAGCGCGCAGGCGGCUUGGUAAGUCGGAUGUGAAAUCCCGAGGCUCAACCUCGGGUCUGCAUCCGAUACUGCCCGGCUAGAGGUAGGUAGGGGAGAUCGGAAUUCCUGGUGUAGCAGUGAAAUGCGCAGAUAUCAGGAGGAACACCGGUGGCGAAGGCGGAUCUCUGGGCCUUACCUGACGCUCAGGCGCGAAAGCUAGGGGAGCGAACUGG
rnacentral:rRNA from 1 species